GGGGUCGUUUUGGAUUCGACAGGCAUUAUGAGGCAUAUUCGGCAACUCAUCGGCAGAUGUAAAAUUGCCAGUUAAAUAUAACUGCAAAAAAUAACACUUCUUACGCAGUAGCUGCCUAAACACCAGCCUGCGUGACUUUCUACAGAUUGUUUGCGUUUGUAAGAAGGUCUUAUUGAUGAGCAAACUACGUUUAGUCAUUGCCUAGCUGGCUAAAAAGAGAUUGAUAGGCUCGCCAAAAAGAGGCUUGAGCUAUGGUGUCGCUCUUUGGUUAAAUCAAUACAUAGCCUAUAGUUGUAGAUGAAUAUGUUGGCAGGUGUUUGGACGUGGGUUCGAUUCCCACCGGCUCCA
rnacentral:tmRNA from 1 species